rnacentral:lncRNA from 1 species
ACUCCCCAGCUGUGAAAGGAGGAGCUCUACGGUGACUUUGAAGACUUGGAAACAGGGGACAUGCACAAGGGAAAAUCGGGCCCCGACACUCAGAAUGAAGAUAUAGAGAAACAAGGAAGAAAUUGACCCCGACGAAGAAGAAAGUGCCAAGAAAAAGCAUUUGGAUAAGAAGAGAAAAUUGAAGGAGAUGUUUGAUGCGGAAUAUGAUGAAGGAGAAAGCACAUAUUUUGAUGAUCUUAAAGGAGAAAUGCAGAAAGAAGCACAGGUGAUCAGUGGCCCGUGUGGCUUAUGGACACACCAGAGCUCCCAGGGGAAGUGCUCUGAAAACUCAUCCUGGUCAGAGUUCAGAAGGACACGUGGAGUAUAAGCUGAAUCACGUAGAAUUUGAAGAUCAAGAUGAUGAAGCCAGAGUUCAGUAUGAUGGUUUUCGACCUGGGAUGUACGUCCGCGUUGAGAUUGAAAAUGUUCCCUGUGAAUUUGUGCAGAACUUUGACCCCCAUUACCCCAUUAUCCUGGGUGGCUUGGGCAACAGCGAGGGAAAUGUUGGACACGUGCAGAUGCGUCUGAAGAAACAUCGCUGGUAUAAGAAAAUCCUCAAGUCCCAAGAUCCAAUCAUAUUUUCUGUAGGGUGGAGGAGGUUUCAGACCAUCCUGCUCUAUUAUAUUGAAGACCACAAUGGAAGACAAAGGCUUCUAAAGUAUACCCCACAGCACAUGCAUUGUGGAGCAGCCUUUUGGGGUAAAAUAUGAUUACAAUAACUUGCCUAUUGCCGAGAUUAAACUUUACAGGCUGCGUUAUUUUAGCUUUGUGCUUUUCCUUUCAUAAAAUUCCACUCCUAAGAUGUUUCUGUUUUCUGGGAGCGGGGAGGUGGUUUGGAGUAUAUAUGUAAAUCUAUAUCCAAAUCUAAAUGUCCGUAUCCAGUAUGUUAAACUAGAAUCUAAAAUUUCUGGUUUGCUAUAUUUCUUUUUUUCCUUUUCCUUUAAGACCCUAUCACUCCACAGGGAACUGGUUUCUUGGCAAUACAGUCUGUCAGUGGCAUAAUGGUAACUAUCUUGGACAAUUUCUUUUACAGAUUGGUUUGAGAAAUAUAUCCUGAAUGUGGGUUAUUAUGUACAUGAGACUUUAAGUUGAAAAUUACUCAUUUUUAUUAUUAUAAAGUAAAUUUCCCUUUGCUUUUAA